CCCCUCUCAGGGUCGCACCUGGAGAGUUUCCAAUACUCUACCAGUUUUGGCUACGGGAGGUGGGGGAGAGUCAAGCAGAGGCCUACUCAUUCCAUUCCUAGCUUGGGCAGUGGCUAGCGAGUGAAAGGCAAACUGCUAUAAGU